GCAAAUAUAAAAAAAGCAUCAUAUUGGUUCAGGGCACGCAACAUAAGACCACACUAAUAUCACAACCACAAAGCUGGAUGCAAAUAGAACAAUAAACAGUCAUAUCACAAACAGAUCCCAUAUAAACACAACCAGCGACAUACAUCUCACAGUCCACCAUAGUAAUACAACAGAUACAGGUAGCAACAACAUAAAGGCCAAGAAACAAAUAGCAUGAGCAUACAGCCUCUCCCGCAGGAGCGAUUGGAAUGUACUCCCUCUGUUCAUAAAUAUAAGACCUUUCAGAGAUUUCAAUAGGGACUACAUAUGGAGAAAAUAAGUGAAUCUAUACUCUUAAAUAUGUCUAUAUACAUCUGUAUGUAGUCUGUAUUGAAUGUAUAAAAGGGCUUAUAUUUAAAAACGGAGGGAGUAGAACCUUAAAUAAACUCAUCUUUAAAUACCAGUUUAUCUUGCAGUUAACAGUGUGUGCAUAGUGAAUCUUGCAGCAGGCAUAGGGAAAAUGCAUAUAGAUGCUUCUAUAAGGUCUAACACAGACAUACUCUUUUCCAUGCAAAGAAACUUCAGAAAAUCAUUAACCAUUGAAGAGAAAAGGUUGUUAGUCAAGAUCAGGUCACUCACCACCUUCAUGUAAUUUCUUCGAGGACCUCAGCAUCAAGG
rnacentral:lncRNA from 1 species